AAUCAACGCUGGCGGCGUGCCUCAGACAUGCAAGUCGAACGCGAAAGUUCCCUUCGGGGGGCGAGUAGAGUGGCGCACGGGUGAGUAACACGUAGGUAAUCUACCUUUGGGUGGGGAAUAACAGCCGGAAACGGCUGCUAAUACCGCAUAAUGCAGCGGCUCGACAUCGAGACAGUUGUUAAAGCGGGGGAUCGCAAGACCUCGCGCCUAAAGAGGAGCCUGCGGCGGAUUAGCUUGUUGGUGAGGUAAUGGCUCACCAAGGCAUCGAUCCGUAGCUGGUCUGAGAGGACGAUCAGCCACACUGGGACUGAGAC
rnacentral:rRNA from 1 species